rnacentral:rRNA from 1 species
GAUGAACGCUAGCUACAGGCUUAACACAUGCAAGUCGAGGGGCAGCAUAUUUAUAGCAAUAUAAAUGAUGGCGACCGGCGCACGGGUGAGUAACGCGUAUCCAACCUGCCGUUUACUCGGGGAUAGCCUUUCGAAAGAAAGAUUAAUACCCGAUGGUAUAUAUUGAUUUCAUGGUCUUUAUAUUAAAGAAUUUCGGUAAACGAUGGGGAUGCGUUCCAUUAGGCAGUUGGCGGGGUAACGGCCCACCAAACCUACGAUGGAUAGGGGUUCUGGGAGGAAGGUCCCCCACAUUGGAACUGAGACACGGUCCAAACUCCUACGGGAGGCAGCAGUGAGGAAUAUUGGUCAAUGGGCGUAGGCCUGAACCAGCCAAGUAGCGUGAAGGAUGACUGCCCUAUGGGUUGUAAACUUCUUUUAUAAGGGAAUAAAGUGGAGUAUGUAUACUCUUUUGUAUGUACCUUAUGAAUAAGGAUCGGCUAACUCCGUGCCAGCCGCCGCCGUAA